GUGCUCACUUUGGCAGCACAUAUACUAAAACUGGAAAAAUACAGAGAAGAUUAUCAUGGCCCCUAUACAAGGAUGACACACAAAUUUGUAAAGAAUUUCAUAUUUUU
ensembl:snRNA U6 U6 spliceosomal RNA